rnacentral:lncRNA from 1 species
AGGAGGCUGCUUAGGGUAGGUUUAGUUGAAUUACAAUUUUGCUAUAUGAGGAAAUGAAGGGACAAAAGUGGAGCAGAAAGGAAAGGCCAUCCAGUGACUGGCCCAACUUGGGAUCCAUUCAUAUGUGCACACCAAACCCUGACACAACUGACCAUGUUGUGGUUGCAGACAGGAAUGGCUGUUCUCUGAGAGGCUCUACCAGAAGCUGACUGAAAUGGAUACAGAUAUGUAAACAGCCAACCAUUA